GACGAACGCUGGCGGCGUGCUUAACACAUGCAAGUCGAACGGAAAGGCCCCUUUGGGGGUACUCGAGCGGCGAACGGGUGAGUAACACGUGAGUAACCUGCCCUUGCCUUCGGGAUAACUUCAGGAAACUGGGGCUAAUACCGGACAGGAAUCCUUUCUUCAUGGUGGGGGUUGGAAAGCUUCGGCGGGUUUGGGUGGACUCGCUGCCUGUCAGCUUGCUGGUGGGGUAGUGGGUUACCAAGGCUUUGGCGGGUAGGCAGCCUGGGGGGGCGACCGGCCACAAUGGGGACGAGGUACGGCCCAGACUCCUACGGGAGGGAGCAGGGGGGAAUAUUGCACAAUGGGCGGAAGGCUGAUGCAGCAACGCCGCGUGCGGGAUGACGGGCUUCGGGUUGUAAACCGCUUUCAGCAGGGGCGAAGCUUGUGGUGACGGUACCUGCAGAAGAAGCACCGGCUAACUACGUG
rnacentral:rRNA from 1 species